AUGAACGCUGGCGGCAGGCCUAACACAUGCAAGUCGAGCGGUAGCACAGAGAGCUUGCUCUUGGGUGACGAGCGGCGGACGGGUGAGUAAUGUCUGGGAAACUGCCUGAUGGAGGGGGAUAACUACUGGAAACGGUAGCUAAUACCGCAUAACGUCGCAAGACCAAAGAGGGGGACCUUCGGGCCUCAUGCCAUCAGAUGUGCCCAGAUGGGAUUAGCUAGUAGGUGGGGUAAUGGCUCACCUAGGCGACGAUCCCUAGCUGGUCUGAGAGGAUGACCAGCCACACUGGAACUGAGACACGGUCCAGACUCCUACGGGAGGCAGCAGUGGGGAAUAUUGCACAAUGGGCGCAAGCCUGAUGCAGCCAUGCCGCGUGUAUGAAGAAGGCCUUCGGGUUGUAAAGUACUUUCAGCGAGGAGGAAGGCGUUAAGGUUAAUAACCUUAGCGAUUGACGUUACUCGCAGAAGAAGCACCGGCUAACUCCGUGCCAGCAGCCGCGGUAAUACGGAGGGUGCAAGCGUUAAUCGGAAUUACUGGGCGUAAAGCGCACGCAGGCGGUCUGUCAAGUCGGAUGUGAAAUCCCCGGGCUCAACCUGGGAACUGCAUUCGAAACUGGCAGGCUAGAGUCUUGUAGAGGGGGGUAGAAUUCCAGGUGUAGCGGUGAAAUGCGUAGAGAUCUGGAGGAAUACCGGUGGCGAAGGCGGCCCC
rnacentral:rRNA from 1 species